UACGAAGGGGGCGAGCGUUGUUCGGAUUUACUGGGCGUAAAGGGCGCGCAGGCGGCUUUGUUUGUCAGGCGUGAAAGCCCCGGGCUUAACCUGGGAACUGCGUUUGAUACGGCAGGGCUAGAGUUCGGGAGAGGAGAGUGGAAUUCCCAGUGUAGAGGUGAAAUUCGUAGAUAUUGGGAAGAACACCGGUGGCGAAGGCAGAUCUCUGGGCCGUUACUGACGCUGAGGAGCGAAAGCGUGGGGAGCGAACAGG
rnacentral:rRNA from 1 species